GUCGGCGCCCCGCGCCCGCCUGCAGCCGGGGGUCCCGGGCUCGGCCGCCCCGCGCGCCCGGCCCGCUGGGGAUGGCCGCUGCGGCCGUGUCCGUGGCGCUCCGACGGCCGCGCGUCCCCGGAGGAUGACCUAGGGCCCGCCGCCCACCCCGCCGCCGCCGGACGCGACCCCCCGACGCCAGCCCAGCCGGGCCCGGCCCCCCGAGCGAGCCGCCGCGUCGGCGCCGCCCUCCCGGGCACGCCUCUCCGGAGCGCGCCGCCGGGCUUGCCCCUCCUGGACCGUCGUCGGCCCCCGGCCACCGAGGGGGGGCCCUGACUUUGGCUUUUUCUUUUUUUUUUUUCCCUUUUCACUUUUUUUUCUCGGGGGGGGUGGGAGGGCAGGGUGGGGGUGGCGUGUGAACUUUUGUUGACUUUGUUUGACUUUUGCGGGGAAGGGGCGCCCUCAGAGCCGACCCCGCCUCCCUCCCGUGUCCCUUACUCCCCAGCCCCCCCCCACCCCGGGAAUCCCGGGACUGUGCGCAGCAGAAGGGGCGCAGCAGAAGGAUGGAGGUGGCCGAGCCGCAGCCGCUGGGCCUGUUCCCCGAGGACGAGCUCAUGUCCGUGGGCAUGGACACCUUCAUCCACCGCAUCGACUCCACCGAGGUCAUCUACCAGCCCCGCCGCAAGCGCGCCAAGCUCAUCGGCAAGUACCUCAUGGGCGACCUGCUGGGCGAGGGCUCCUACGGCAAGGUGAAGGAGGUGCUGGACUCGGAGACCCUGUGCCGGCGCGCCGUGAAGAUCCUCAAGAAGAAGAAGCUGAGGCGCAUCCCCAACGGGGAGGCCAACGUGAAGAAGGAGAUCCAGCUGCUGCGGCGCUUGCGGCACCAGAACGUCAUCCAGCUGGUGGACGUGCUCUACAACGAGGAGAAGCAGAAGAUGUAUAUGGUGAUGGAGUACUGCGUGUGUGGCAUGCAGGAGAUGCUGGACAGCGUGCCCGAGCGCCGGUUCCCGGUGUGCCAGGCCCACGGCUACUUCUGCCAGCUGGUGGACGGCCUGGAGUACCUGCACAGCCAGGGCAUCGUGCACAAGGACAUCAAGCCCGGCAACCUGCUGCUCACCACGGCCGGGACCCUCAAGAUCUCCGACCUGGGCGUGGCCGAGGCCCUACACCCCUUCGCCGAGGAUGACACGUGCCGGACGAGCCAGGGCUCUCCCGCCUUCCAGCCCCCCGAGAUCGCCAAUGGCCUGGACACCUUUUCGGGUUUCAAGGUGGACAUCUGGUCGGCAGGGGUGACGCUCUACAACAUCACAACGGGCCUGUACCCCUUCGAGGGGGACAAUAUCUACAAACUGUUUGAGAACAUUGGCAAGGGUGACUACAGCAUCCCGGGGGACUGCGGGCCGCCGCUCUCUGACCUUCUCAGGGGGAUGCUGGAGUACGAGCCGUCCCGGAGGUUCUCGCUGCAGCAGAUCCGGCAGCACAGCUGGUUCCGCAAGAAGCACCCGCCGGCCGAGGCGCCGGUGCCCAUCCCGCCGAGCGCGGACUGCCGGGACCGCUGGCGCGGGAUGACGGUGGUGCCCUACCUGGAGGACCUGCACGGUUGCGCCGACGACGCCGACGAGGACCUCUUUGACAUCGAUGACGACAUUGUCUACACUCAGGACUUCACGGUGCCAGGUCCCGGAGGAGGGCUCCGGUCAGAACGGACAGAGCUGGGGCCUGCCCAAGGCCGUGUGUAUGAACGGCACGGAGUCGGCACAGCUGAGCGGCCGCCCCCGGGCUGAGCGCAGGGCCAGCGCCAACUCCACCCCCGCGCGCAAGGCCUGCUCGGCCAGCAGCCGCCUGCGCCGCCUGUCUGCCUGCAAGCAGCAGUGAGCGCACCGCCCACAGGCGAGCUCCAGGAGCCACAGCCCCGCCCCCGGCUUCCCGCCCAAGGCCAGGGUAGCGCCUCGGCCACUGCUGGCCAGGGUCAGCAGACACUGGGGGUCUGGCCCCGCGUGCCCGGCCGGGCACUCGUCCGCCCGUGGACUUGGCCACAGAUGCCCAGCCGGGCCCAGAGUGGAGGAGGAUGCGCCCUGUGUGGGGCCAGGAACCCCCGCCAUGCACUUUACGUUCCAACACUGGUUCGCGCCGGCCUGGACGCCGCUCCCCCGGGACGCCGUGGGGCUGGUGCGGGGAACCUGCCAGCAGGAUGCAUGCCCAGCCCCCGAGGGAGCCGGGCGGCUGUCUCAUUUCGUUUGGUUGGUUCUUUUAUUUCUUUUUUUAAGAAAAAAAUAAAACAGGUGGAUUUGA